UGGGGAAUAUUGGACAAUGGGCGCAAGCCUGAUCCAGCCACGCCGCGUGAGUGAUGAAGGCCUUCGGGUCGUAAAGCUCUGUGGGGAGGGACGAACCGCUGCUGGUUCAUAUCCAGCAGCAUGACGGUACCUCCUUAGCAAGCACCGGCUAACUUCGUGCCCGCAGCCGCGGUAAUACGAAGGGUGCAAACGUUGCUCGGAAUUAUUGGGCGUAAAGCGCACGUAGGCGGCUUAGCAAGUCGGAUGUGAAAUCCCUCGGCUCAACCAAGGAAGUGCAUCCGAAACUGCUGAGCUUGAGUACUUAAGAGGAUCGCGGAAUUCCCGGUGUAGAGGUGAAAUUCGUAGAUAUCGGGAGGAACACCAGUGGCGAAGGCGGCGAUCUGGGAAGAUACUGACGCUGAGGUGCGAAAGCGUGGGGAGCAAACA
rnacentral:rRNA from 1 species